rnacentral:lncRNA from 1 species
AUGCCCCCCCCCCCCCCCGGUCCCACAGCACCCUGUGUGCCCCCGGCACAGCCCAUGGGGCAGAGCUGGGCCCUGCUGCGGCCCCAUUGUGGUGGGUGGGGGGUCCCUGUUGCUCCAUUCCCUCACUGGGGGUGCACAAGUUGGGGGUCCCUCUGCUCCACCCAGGCACCUCUGCAGAGCUGGGGGGCAGCCGGUGCCCUCCUGGCACCCAGGAGCAGGAUGACGAUGGGGAACGGCCCUUUUGGGGUGCCCAUUUGCCCUGGGGGGCUGCGUCUGCCCCACUACCCUGCCCUGCUCUGCACCAUCCCAACAGCAGCUUCACCUCUGCGGGGUCUCGUCCUGCACCUUCCCAGACGAGGCACUUCUCUGUCCCCCUCUGCUGGGUUCAUUUUUUUUCCCUUAAAUUCCCUUCCACUCCUUUCCCCGUGCUUUUCCCACCCUGAUGUCCAGUGCCACCAGGCCAGGAGCGGGGUCUGGGCUCCCACAGGGGGGGGCUGCGGGGACAUUUUGGGUGGCACCCAGCGCUCACCCCAGCUCCAGCCACCACGGUUGUGCCUGGUACCACCACCGGGGCGGGCGCGUGGUCCCGGGGGGGGGUCCCUGAACCCCCAGUGGGUGCCGGCCGGCAGUCACGAGGCGGGGGCACGGGGCACGGGGCUCACACCCUCCCUGCUGCCGAACAAGAGGAGCCUUUCAUGGAGAGGGAGCGCGGGGAGGGAACGGGGAGAGGGGGGGAGAAAACUCAAAGCAGAACCAAAGCAAAAGGGCUGGAGGGAGGGAAGGGAGCUGGGCAAAAACGGGGCGCAGCAGGGGAGCAGGGGGGCUGCAGGGAUGAAAAAUGGGGGGCGUGGAUGUGGGCAUUCCCAUCACACCAACGAGGACUGCGGGACAGUGCCAGGGUUGUGCUCAGGGAGAUGGGGAAAGGCUCCUGCAGCUGAAGCCCUCCUGGGAAGGGUCCGACUGCCCCAGAUCGGGGUUUUGGGGGUCCACAGGGACCCCAGCAUGGCCCCCCCUGCCACUGGGGAAGCGACAGCGGCUUCGCCCUGA